rnacentral:rRNA from 1 species
GCAGAAUUCCGCGAAUCAUCGAGUCUUUGAACGCAAGUUGCGCCCGAGGCUUGUCCGAGGGCAUUUCCGCUAGAGCGUCA